GACGAAGGAUGCAAGCGUUAUCCGGAUUCAUUGGGCUUAAAGGGCGCGUAGGUGGCCUUAUAAGUCAGUGGUGAAAUCUCUGGGCUUAACCCAGAAAUUGCCAUUGAUACUGUAGGGCUUGAGUACAGUUGCUGUGGGCGGAAUAUGACAUGUAGUGGUGAAAUACAUAGAGAUGUGAUAGAACACCGAUUGCGAAGGCAGCUCACAAAACUGUAACUGACACUGAGGCUCGAAAGUGCGGGGAUCAAACAGG
rnacentral:rRNA from 1 species